rnacentral:rRNA from 1 species
UCAGGAUGAACGCUAGCUACAGGCUUAACACAUGCAAGUCGAGGGGUAGCAGGGUAGCAAUACCGCUGACGACCGGCGCACGGGUGAGUAACACGUAUCCAACCUUCCCAUAACUCAGGGAUAGCCUUUCGAAAGAAAGAUUAAUACCUGAUAGUACUUUUUCAAGGCAUCUUGAGAAAGUUAAAGAUUUAUUGGUUAUGGAUGGGGAUGCGUUCCAUUAGAUAGUUGGUGAGGUAACGGCUCACCAAGUCUUCGAUGGAUAGGGGUCUGAGAGGAAGGUCCCCCACAUUGGUACUGAGACGCGGACCAAACUCCUACGGGAGGCAGCAGUGAGGAAUAUUGGUCAAUGGGCGAGAGCCUGAACCAGCCAAGUAGCGUGAAGGAAUGAAGGUCCUAUGGAUUGUAAACUUCUUUUAUAGUAGAAUAAAGUGAUCCACGUGUGGAUUUUUGUAUGUAUACUAUGAAUAAGGAUCGGCUAACUCCGUGCCAGCCGCCGC